rnacentral:rRNA from 1 species
CCGUAGGUGAACCUGCGGAAGGAUCAUUAAUG